rnacentral:rRNA from 1 species
GACGUAGGGCGCGAGCGUUGUCCGGAUUUAUUGGGCGUAAAGAGCUCGUAGGCGGCUUGUCGCGUCGACUGUGAAAACCCACGGCUUAACUGUGGGCUUGCAGUCGAUACGGGCAGGCUCGAGUUCGGUAGGGGAGACUGGAAUUCCUGGUGUAGCGGUGAAAUGCGCAGAUAUCAGGAGGAACACCGGUGGCGAAGGCGGGUCUCUGGGCCGAUACUGACGCUGAGGAGCGAAAGCGUGGGGAGCGAACAGG